rnacentral:misc_RNA from 1 species
UCAUUCCUGUAUGGAUUCAGCUCAAACCCGAAUAAUUUGAGCUUCUUCUCAACACGGGAUUCAGCAGAAUGACGAAUUUCUCCAUCCAAUGUGGAAGAAAGGAUUGUAGAGGCCUCUUUAUCCAUCUAUCUUGAACUGAGAAAACAAGGAUAUUUCACAGUUCUAAUACACCGUCUAGUUGUUGGGCUUCUCUUCCUUUUAUAGUGAACUCUGAGUUUCCAACAAUGCAUUGCAUCACAAAAC